GUAAAAGCGCAUGCAGGUGGUUUGUUAAGUCAGAUGUGAAAGCCCGGGGCUCAACCUCGGAAUUGCAUUUGAAACUGGCAGACUAGAGUACUGUAGAGGGGGGUAGGAAUUUCAGGUGUAGCGGUGAAAUGCGUAGAGAUCUGAAGGAAUACCGGUGGCGAAGGCGGCCCCCUGGACAGAUACUGACACUCAGAUGCGAAAGCGUGGGGAGCAAACAGGAUUAGAUACCCUGGUAG
rnacentral:rRNA from 1 species